rnacentral:lncRNA from 1 species
CAGUGAGAAACAGCUACCAAUGGAUCCACCUUCUCCUCCAUUAAAUGGAGCAAAGCAGCGAGAGGAAGAUGUGGCUUGCCUUUCUGCUCUUGAAGAAUUCAGAGGGAAGCAUAAGACUCUUGCCCUCUGCUCAAUUCCAGCUAUGCAUCCAGUGUCUGAACAGAUGGGACAUUUUCUCCAUUUUGGUUUUGUCAGAAGCUUCCUGAAAAAAACUGCCAUGGGAAAUCUACAAGGCCUUUAUGUUCAACAAAUACAUCCCAUAUGGAAUUUUGAUGGAAAAAAAUGCUCA